GAGCGCUCGCCGCCCACCAUGGAGAACUGGUAGGAGCCGGCCGAGGUGCCGUAGUACAGGUGGUAGGACGGCGAGCUGGCCUGGAACGGGCCGCCUUGCGCCUGCGACGAGCCCGGGUAGGGCGGCGGCAGGUGGAUAUUCUUCCAAGAACGACAGAGAAGAUCUGGCUGAGAAACUGGCAGUGGCUCUAAUGACCUGUUCACAAACCCAGCAGUGGUAUUGGCUCUGUCAGCCCAGGCAGCCUACUGCUUUUCCAGACUUGAAGUUUGCAACAUUUGAAGGGCAGAUUUUUUUAGGCUGCAGUCACUGCUGGGGAACAGGGAGACUUGAAUGGUGAUUGCCACAGAGUAGCCGAGGCACAUAAGACUGGACAGAGGCACAGCACCCUGGUGACCCACCAGCAUCACCAGUGACGACAGUGACAGCAACAAGAGCUCAACAGAAUUACACGACUCUGUUCUUCAGGUGUACAGUCUCCACGAAUACCUGACAGAAGGAUAUCUCAAUCAGACGGAGAAGGCAAGCGUGUCUCAUUGAUAACUGAAGUGGCUUUUUCAACACACCAUUGUGAUCUGUGGUGCAGAAAAACUAGGAAGGUGUGGAUGCAAAUCACCAGCAUGAUGAGCAGUUGGGAAAAAUCUAUGUGAAAUGAUAACACUAAAGAGAUCUCUGUGUGCUCACGAGUGUGUGUACAAAGUUGCAGGUGUCCUGAAAGAACAGAUGGACUUCUCACUCUCAUUUUAAAAGGACACCUGCAUUUCAACAGAUGUUUGCCGAUGAACCUGACUCUAGAUUUAAAAACUUGGAAUUUUUCCUUUCUUACUGCAGUUAUAUGACUGGGGAGCAGAAACUGAUCCAUGUAGAGACAGCUCACCUUGCCUGUGUAACAGUUUAAACUCCAGGCUUCAGGGCCACUGGGGUUUUCAAGUGACAGUACUGAAUGUGAAUGUAAUCCCUCCUUAAAGCCUCUUAACAAGUGAGAUGUUACCCUGCCUGACAGCAAACCCAGCCUUCUUCCAGCUUGUGUAAUUUGGGAAACUUUGUCCAAUACUAUAUAUCAUUUACAUAUUACACAUACAAUAUA